UACGGAGGGUGCGAGCGUUGUCCGGAAUCACUGGGCGUAAAGGGCGCGUAGGCGGCGCGGGCAGUCAACGGUGAAAGCUCGGGGCUCAACCCCGAGUCGGCCGUCGAUACUCCCGUGCUCGAGCACUGUAGAGGCAGGUGGAAUUCCGGGUGUAGCGGUGGAAUGCGUAGAGAUCCGGAAGAACACCGGUGGCGAAGGCGGGUCUCUGGGCAGUAACUGACGCUGAGGAGCGAAAGCGUGGGGAGCGAACAGG
rnacentral:rRNA from 1 species